AAAAAUUCUUCACCAUCGGAAAGUACCAUAAGUAGAAAUCAAUUUGUUUCUUGUGUCAAUGCUCUUAGGUCUUUUCUGGUCAUAUUUUAAGUAAUAUAAUCAGAUAAGUAUUGAGAAAUGACACUGUAGACUCUCUAUUCUCCUGGUGGACAUGUGCUCAUAGAAUAAAAUUUUCAUGAUCCAAUCCAGGUUAAACUGUAUUGAUUCUUGUAUUGAUACAAUGUCCUUCAUAAGGAACAUGGUAGGUUCUUCAUAAGGAACAUUGUACAAUUUAAUCAGAAAAUACUGGCGCCAGUUAGAUUAUACUCAUAAUUUUGAUUAAAUGUUAGAUGGUGCUCCGAUCGUGUGAUAAGUAUAUUCCCUACCUUUUGUAUUGGUUGUUUGUAUGAUCUGAUGCAAUCUGUAUAUUGUCAUAAGUGUUUUUGUUUUUUGUUUAUUAUUAUUGAUAUAUAGUGUUAUCCAGGAGUAGUUGCUUUUCAUUUAAAACCGGAUGAAAAACUUGAUUAGCAUAAUUUGGAGG
rnacentral:lncRNA from 1 species